rnacentral:rRNA from 1 species
UACGUAGGGUGCAAGCGUCGUCCGGAAUUAUUGGGCGUAAAGAGCUCGUAGGCGGUCUGUCGCGUCUGCUGUGAAAACCCGGGGCUCAACCCCGGGCUUGCAGUGGAUACGGGCAGACUAGAGUUCGGUAGGGGAGACUGGAAUUCCUGGUGUAGCGGUGAAAUGCGCAGAUAUCAGGAGGAACACCGGUGGCGAAGGCGGGUCUCUGGGCCGAUACUGACGCUGAGGAGCGAAAGCGUGGGGAGCGAACAGG